CCCUUAGAUGUUCUGGGCUGCACGCGCGCUACACUGAAGCGUUCAACGAGUAUUCACCUUGCCCGGGAGGGUUGGGUAAUCUUUUUAAAACGCUUCGUGAUGGGGAUAGAUUAUUGCAAUUAUUAAUCUUCAACGAGGAAUUCCUAGUAAGCGCGAGUCAUCAGCUCGUGCUGAUUACGUCCCUGCCCUUUGUACACACCGCCCGUCGCACCUACCGAUUGAAUGGUCCGGUGAAGCCUCCGGAUUGGCGCGCACCUCGGUGCCGCCGAGAAGUUGGCUAAACCUUACCAUUUAGAGGAAGGUGAAGUCGUAACA
rnacentral:rRNA from 1 species